UACAGAGGGGGCAAGCGUUUGUUCGGAAUUACUGGGCGUAAAGGGCGCGUAGGCGCCUUCUAAGUCGAACGUGAAAUCCCCGGGCUCAACCCGGGAACUGCGUCCGAUACUGGAAGGCUUGAAUCCGGGAGAGGGAUGCGGAAUUCCAGGUGUAGCGGUGAAAUGCGUAGAUAUCUGGAGGAACACCGGUGGCGAAGGCGGCAUCCUGGACCGGCAUUGACGCUGAGGCGCGAAAGCCAGGGGAGCAAAGCGGG
rnacentral:rRNA from 1 species